rnacentral:rRNA from 1 species
UCGGGCCUCCUUUACAAUUGCAGGUUCGAACGGUGUGCUUCGGCACUUAGUGGCGGACGGGUGAGUAACGCGUGAGAAUCUGCCCUUAGGAGGGGGAUAACGGUUGGAAACGACCGCUAAUACCCCAUAUGCCGAGAGGUGAAAUCUAAUUGGCCUGAGGAUGAGCUCGCGUCCGAUUAGCUAGUUGGGGGUGUAAGAGACUCCCAAGGCGACGAUCGGUAGCUGGUCUGAGAGGAUGAUCAGCCACACUGGGACUGAGACACGGCCCAGACUCCUACGGGAGGCAGCAGUGGGGAAUUUUCCGCAAUGGGCGAAAGCCUGACGGAGCAAGACCGCGUGAGGGAAGAAGGUCUGUGGAUUGUAAACCUCUUUUGAUUGGGAAGAAGCCUGACGGUACCAAUCGAAUCAGCCUCGGCUAACUCCGUGCCAGCAGCCGCGGUAAUA